AUUGGCCACCGUGGAUUACUGCCCCAGUGCAGAGUGUUGGUAGUUACCCUUCCCCCCAUAGGAAACAUUUAAUCAGUGCAGAGAGGUAAAUAAACAGCCCCAAACCCAAAAUGAAAUGAGUCAGGGGCACAAGGAAUGUGACACGGGGGCAGUCGUUGGUCUGAGCGCCCACUCGCUCUCUGUUGGAGAUUUCAGGCUGGCAGGUGUUAGUGCCAGAUUCCUGUCAUAUCUCCUAUUUGUUGUUAUAUGAACCCAACCCUCGACCUUAAAGUAGAACUGCAACACCCAAAUGUAUAUGUUUGUGCCCAUAAAUAAGUGGAGACAGCAGAGCUUGGGGGCAGGGUUGAUGCUUGUUAUGUUUUGCAGUGUCCUUUCUUUUAUACCCCUCAUUGCUCUGAUUGCAGGACUAUGUAUAGUGAAGCCUUCCUGCAUCUUGGCUUUAGUCUGCAUGUUCUAGAAGGGCAAUGAGAGAUGUGGAAGGUCUGAGAGGCUUUAACGGAGGCACAAAGUGGUGACCAACCGCCCCACUGAGCACUUGUGACAUUCAGGUCCUCCUCCUCGCUCAGUUGCUCGUCUGAGCUCACUUCCUGGCCGGUGUCGUGGCCAGUUUGGAAUGGUGACUCCUGGGAAA